ensembl:lncRNA
UUCCCCUCAUCAUCUGCAUGCCACUCGCAGGGUUUCCCCUCAAACACACAUCACCACACAGAGCGACUGGGGGCUUCUUGGGGACAGGUUGGUGAAACCAGAGGCGCUUUAUUGUGGAAAUACAGGAUGAGGAAGUUUAUUCUAUGAAUUAGAACAAACAUGAAGAUAAACCUGGAUGCUUCGUUCUCUUGAAUAGUCUCUCCUGGUUCUCCAUAUCUAACAAACCUAAUCCCGAUGUGUUGGCUCCAUGACGAGGAGACAUAGACAUCAUCAAAGAUAUUCAGAAGAUAAAACCUGGAGCCAAGAGUCACACGACGGGGUCAAUGCAAUCACAUUAGCUUAGCUUAGCACGAAGGCCAGCUAGCCAAGCUUUAUCCAAAGGUCCCGAAAUGCACCAGAUCUCUAAAGCUCACUGGUCACUACAUUCUUUAUGCAGGAUUAAAGCGUUUCCACGUUGUGGGGGUGCGUGCUACGUACAUACUAAAUACUGUGGAGUAUAAGUAUAGUAUAGUAUAAGUAUUCAUGCCGAUAGUCACUCAAUACAUGAACAGCUACGAGGUUUAUUGUGAAAUAAUAUACGUUUAUAUAAAUCCUUUAUAUGUAAAGGCUUUAUCCGUGUACAGAAGUCAUGCUAGCUGUUUCCCCUGGUUACCAGUCUUAAUGCUAAGCUAAGAUAGCCCUGUGUGCAGAUCUGCUCCGUCACAAUGGCGCUCAGAACACUUGCAGCGUUUCUCCAUGCUGUUUAUUUCCAGACAACCGUCCAGGACAGCCAGUUAAGAUCAGUGGAGGGGGAGGAGGAGGAGAGGAGGAGGAGGAGGAGGAGUGUGGGGCUUCUAGCGAAGCUCCCAGUCAAACAUCUGCUGCCGUCACUCCAUCGCACUGAAUAAAUUCAGGGUCAGAUGGGGAUGAACCAGGGAUUAAGGAGGAGAAGGAGGAGGAGGAGGAGGAGGAGGAGCAUGAAGGAGAGGAAGAGGAAGAGGAGGAGAAGGAGGGUAUUCUGCCCCCUCAGAAUCGAGGGUCAGCAUGGAGGAGAGACGGAGCAGCCUUAGAACAUUUCCCAGAAGCCCCGCCUCCUGUCCUGGUCUGAGAGAUUGCACAGCAGCUGAUUGGUUCAUGUGACAUCACCACAUCAUGGUAAGAUAUUACCUAUAACAGAGAUGAUUCAAAUGAGAGUAUGCAGGUGUACGGCAGGACCACUGCAGGGACAACCACCAUCACAUAGAACCACCAUCAGAUGGAACCUCCAUCACAUGGAACCACCAUCACAUAGAACCACCAUCAGAUGGAACCUCCAUCACAUAGAACCACCAUCAGAUGGAACCUCCAUCACAUAGAACCACAUCAGAUAGAACCUCCAUCCACAGAAGCCUGUGGCACUUUAGCAAAGGGUAACGUUGGUUUAUGAUGACAGUAAUACGAUUAAUAGUUAAAAUAAUAAUCGUGGUGGGGAGGAUGGCAGCAGCAGGUGUCAGCAGGGCCACGGCACUUCAUCAAUGAGUAAGACCUUGGUCAUGGGGUUUGGAAGUAGAACCAGCCAACACAGUUGGAGCUGCUUCCAACGCCCCAGUGCAUUCUGGGAGUGUGACUAUAUAAGCUCAUUGCAGCUGCAACCAACCGGACUGUCCGUUGAUGGACUUUAUGACCCAUUCAAUACCAUGCAAGCGUAAGGACAAAGGGGGACGUCAUGGAGGGCUCCUGAUGCUAUUACAAUUGGCAACAAUCUGUGGUAGUUUUACAGUAAGCAGGUGUUUUGGUACAUGCGGCGUCACUGAGGAGGGUUUUUGUUCGUAUUAUAUAAAACAGGAAUGUUGUUUGUGUUGUGUCUCUGGCUGGCGUACCUGCAGGUGGGCGGGGCAGAGGCUCGCCAGGGGAGUGGGCACACCUGAGGUAAUCCGAUCUGCACGCCGAUAAAAGGGCCGCUGGUUCCAGGUGCGCUCUCUCUCUCGCCCUCUCUCUCUCUCUCCCCCCUCUCUCUCUCUCUCUCUCUUUCUCUCCCCCUCUCUCUCUCCCCCUUUCUCUCUCUCUCUCGCCCGCCCGGUUUGCAUCAUGGCCGUGCGGCCCGGGCGGUGACCCUGUUAAUAACAAUGUAGCAAAGACGAUCUCUCAUGAGUGUGAAGUCAGUGUUUGCUUCUCUCACGGACUCCAGCGUUUUGUCUCCAGGGUGAAGGUCCUGUGUUUGUGUGACCCCCCCUUCACAGAACUUCCCCCCUGGAUGCACCGAUACCAUGAAUCCAACACCAAUCAAUAAAUACAGUUAUCAAUUUACUUACCUGUUAUUUAUAGUUCUGAUGAGAAAGUGUGUGUAUGUGUGUGUGAUUCCCAAACUGAAACAACAUAUGAGGGUGUGAAGAAUCCACCUGUCUGACCUCAUAACCACGCAGGUUUGCGUCAUUCAGACGUUCCACACGCGUGUGACGUGAUUGGACAGGAAUUUGAUCCUCCACAUAUCUGAUCCAAGAAAAGCAGGACUUUAUUAAACCAAACAAAUGAGGCCAGUCGGCCCGAACAGAUCAGACCGGAUUGUUACAAACAAAAGGGUUUCAUGGCCAACAUGAUCCUCCUCGGGCCGUAUGAGUACCUGGCGCUCCAGAGGGUCCUGGAGACCCUCAGUCUGUCCUGGGAGGCUCAACAGGACACAGCUGGACGCUGCAUGUUCUCAACAGUACUUAAAGUUCUUAAUCUUCAAUGUUCUUCUCAGGAACGUUUAGACUUUCAUCUUGUUUCAAACCAUUUUGCACAGAAAUCAAAUAUUGAGCUUCUCCAAAGCUUUCAGGAAUAUUGCGGCAGCGUGUUUCACAUGAAAUGAAAGAGGGAAUUAUGGAUCCAUAAAAGCACCGGCUGCCCCGUAAAAUAAAUAUCUCUGAUUGAUGUGGCCAAGAAAUUGGAAAAUCUCCAGCAGUUUCUCCAACACGCUCUGUACAAAUGGAACAUUUCACAGAACAUUCUAUGAUGUUUGGCCACAAGAAAGCCAUCUGGAGGGGGGGGGCUGUGGGGGGUUACAGUGCUGGUAAAAAUAGACCCAACCAGCACUUGCCAGGAGCAAUUUGUACCAGAUGGGACUUGAAAUAGUGUCGGAGCUCUGCUGAGCCUGUUAAAGCGUCCCGUUGUUCCCUUGGAGGACUGUUAGCUCCUCGUUAGCGUAGCAUAAAGCCCACGUGUCACUAGCAGAUAACCUGUGAAGGACGGAUGGACGGGGGACAUUAGUCAGCUGGGGGGACGUGGACCUCGGAAAAGGGGCGGAGUCUGCUGGAGGUCUUCUUACAGAAUGGAAACAACAAAAUGUCCCGUUUUCUUCCCUGAGAUGUUUCCAUGUUGUAUUUGUUUA